rnacentral:sRNA from 1 species
UGGUAGAUGCACCCUGACCAUUCCCCAAUGCUCGUGAGUAUUGGGGAUUUUUUUU